GUAAUAGGUAUGUUCUUGAAACUUAAAAAAUUUGGCGGUAUUUUAGUCUAUUCAGAGGAACUUGUUCUAUAAUUGAUAAUCCCCGUUGGACCUUACUUAAAUUUGUUAAAUUACAGUUUAUAUACCGUCGUUAUCAGAAUAUUUUAUAAGAAUAAUAAUUUUCUUUAAUUUUAAUUAAAUUAUAUUUCAGAUCAAGGUGUAGCUAAUAUUUAAGAAGAAAUGAGUUACAUUAAAAAUAUUUAAAUGGAUAUUAAUAUGAAAAAAUAAUUGAAAGUGGAUUUGAAAGUAAAGUUGUAUAGAU
rnacentral:rRNA from 1 species